rnacentral:rRNA from 1 species
GGAUGAGCCCGCGGCCUAUCAGCUUGUUGGUGAGGUAAUGGCUCACCAAGGCGACGACGGGUAGCCGGCCUGAGAGGGCGACCGGCCACACUGGGACUGAGACACGGCCCAGACUCCUACGGGAGGCAGCAGUGGGGAAUAUUGCACAAUGGGCGAAAGCCUGAUGCAGCGACGCCGCGUGAGGGAUGACGGCCUUCGGGUUGUAAACCUCUUUCAGCAGGGAAGAAGCGAAAGUGACGGUACCUGCAGAAGAAGCGCCGGCUAACUACGUGCCAGCAGCCGCGGUAAUACGUAGGGCGCGAGCGUUGUCCGGAAUUAUUGGGCGUAAAGAGCUCGUAGGCGGCUUGUCGCGUCGGUUGUGAAAGCCCGGGGCUUAACCCCGGGUCUGCAGUCGAUACGGGCAGGCUAGAGUUCGGUAGGGGAGAUCGGAAUUCCUGGUGUAGCGGUGAAAUGCGCAGAUAUCAGGAGGAACACCGGUGGCGAAGGCGGAUCUCUGGGCCGAUACUGACGCUGAGAGCGAAAGCGU